rnacentral:misc_RNA from 1 species
GUGAGUCAUCGAAUCUUUGAACGCACAUUGCGCCCCCUGGUAUUCCGGGGGGCAUGCCUGUCCGAGCGUCAUUUCAACCCUCCAGCCCGGCUGGUGUUUGGGUUCCGUCCCCCGGGACGAGCCCCAAAAUCAAGGACGGCGUCAGUUCUGACCCCGAGCAUAUGGAGAUUUUAUCACCGCUCGAGGGGGAAGGCUGGCCCGGUCCACCCAACCCAUCUUUUAUAGUUGGACCUCGGAUCAGGUAGGGAUACCCGCUGAACUUAAGCAUAUCAAUAAGCGGAGGA